rnacentral:rRNA from 1 species
AACAAAUCCCAUCAUUACUAAAGAGCCCUUACAUAAUACUGAACAAUUCUAUACAACUAUAGAAGAUUUUAUGUUAAAACUAGUAACAAGAAGAAGAACUUCUCCUAUAAUGCAAGCAUAAAUCAGACAGGACACCCCACUGAUAAUUAACGCCCAUGAACAAAAAUAGCAACAAAACAAGAAAACCCUACUAAGUCAUGCGUUAACCUAACACUAGAGCAUUUCAAGAAAGAUUAAAAGAAAAAGAAGGAACUCGGCAAAUAUUAACCUCGCCUGUUUACCAAAAACAUCGCCUCUUGAAUAAAUAUAAGAGGUCCAGCCUGCCCAGUGACCAUGUUCAACGGCCGCGGUAUCCUAACCGUGCGAAGGUAGCGUAAUCACUUGUUCUUUAAAUAAGGACUAGUAUGAAUGGCACCACGAAGGUUACACUGUCUCCUCUUUCUAAUCAGUGAAACUAAUCUCCCCGUGAAGAAGCGAGGAUAAUAAUAUAAGACGAGAAGACCCUAUGGAGCUUCAAACUACAAGACACUUGCUCAACACAACUAAAUUUCAGAAGACUUCUCCCAUCCAAGCAAGAUGACCUUUAGUUUUAGGUUGGGGUGACCGCGGAGAAAAAAAUAACCUCCACAUUGAAAGGAGCCCACUCCUUAGCCAAGAGCCACACCUCUACGCACCAACAAAAAGACAUUAAUUGACCCAAUAUUUUGAUCAACGAACCAAGUUACCCUAGGGAUAACAGCGCAAUCCACUUCAAGAGCCCCUAUCGACAAGUGGGUUUACGACCUCGAUGUUGGAUCAGGGUAUCCCGGUGGUGCAGCCGCUACCAAAGGUUCGUUU